GUUUUUAAGAUUCCUCUAUCCUACAAAUAAAGUGCUCUCAACAAGUACUAAAUGACCCCUCUACACUGUCUCAACACUCCAAACACACCUUCAACCAUAGUAACUCAAAAUCACUAUAUUAGUUUCUCUCAAAAGACCCAAAACACUUUAUUUUUGCUUAGGCUUUUAUCCAAUUCAACUAUAACAAUUUUAAUACCCCAAGUACUCCUAACCUGCUCAAUUUACAACACCAAAGCUCAUCUAAACCAGACCACCACAACACAUUACAAAUUCAUCAAUUCAACAGUACAUAUAGAAAUCAACAUACAAGGCAGUUUCC
rnacentral:lncRNA from 1 species